CGGGGUGGUGGUGGUGGGGGGGGUUGCCGCGUCCGGCGAGGCCCGACUCUGACCCGCCGCCCCCUGGCGGCUACGCGGAGAAUCGCAGGGCCGCGCUCCCCCUUGUGCGACAUGUGCUGCCGGCCCGGGCUCCAUGAGCGUGGCGGGCACUUUGCAGUCUCGGGUGUUCCUGCCCGGUCUUCUGUUCCUAAACUGCAGCAAAGGGAAAAGGAACUGAAAAAGGCAGGCUCGUCGUUGUAAUAUCACCAGAAGAGAAAAUUAACGGCAUGCCAUCAGGACCACAGCAGUUGGAGAAACAACUCUUUAUCCCGGCUUGCAGCCACGAGGUCUUGAUUGGGGGAGGGGUGGUGAAGAAUAGUCCCUGGGCUGCUUUUUUUUUCCUUUUACUGGAGCUGUACAGUGCAGUCAAUGAUUGCUGCUGAUCAUAAUCAAGUAUUUUAGAAGCUUAUUAAGACAUGUAUCUGAUAGCUAAGGGUUUUUCAACUUUAUUCUCUUACGCAUUUUUCAACUACACCUAUUGGUUUUUUAAAUCCUGCUAAUAUUGCCCGACUCUUACUCUCAGUUUUGCAAAUGGGUGAAAUUAAUUGCUAAUUAGGACGUUGGAAAAUAGCAAAUACAGAUUUGGACGAUGGUGGUAAUUUUGAGCAAAUCAUGUUUAUCUUUUUUUCCUUAUUUUCCCCUACUCCAGUCAUACACGUGGAGCUAACUGCACCAGUAGCUUUUCUGAGGAUACUUGCUGAAAAGGAAGUUUAAUGGAAUGGUAUUCGCUAAGUGGAAGCCAGAAGAAGAGGAAAAUGUUUUGCCACGUGGAUGUGAAGACUUCCUCUAAAAGGUACACAUGGACUAAAUUGCCCUUAAAUGUUCCAAAAUUAGUUCUCAUUUAUUUGCAGUCUCAUUUUGUUUUGUUUUGUUUUGUUUUGUUUUUUCUCUAUGUAUCAAUCCAUUUGGGAGAGGCCAGCCAUUGGAAGAGCCACCACUUCCAGUGCUAG
rnacentral:lncRNA from 10 species